GACGAACGCUGGCGGCGUGCUUAACACAUGCAAGUCGAACGAUGAACCACUUCGGUGGGGAUUAGUGGCGAACGGGUGAGUAACACGUGGGCAAUCUGCCCUUCACUCUGGGACAAGCCCUGGAAACGGGGUCUAAUACCGGAUAACACUGCCACGGGCAUCUGUGGUGGUUAAAAGCUCCGGCGGUGAAGGAUGAGCCCGCGGCCUAUCAGCUUGUUGGUGAGGUAAUGGCNCACCAAGGCGACGACGGGUAGCCGGCCUGAGAGGGCGACCGGCCACACUGGGACUGAGACACGGCCCAGACUCCUACGGGAGGCAGCAGUGGGGAAUAUUGCACAAUGGGCGAAAGCCUGAUGCAGCGACGCCGCGUGAGGGAUGACGGCCUGG
rnacentral:rRNA from 1 species